rnacentral:rRNA from 1 species
CAGUCGCCACGGUAAUACGUAGGUGGCAAGCGUUGUCCGGAAUUAUUGGGCGUAAAGGGCUCGCAGGCGGUUUCUUAAGUCUGAUGUGAAAGCCCCCGGCUCAACCGGGGAGGGUCAUUGGAAACUGGGAAACUUGAGUGCAGAAGAGGAGAGUGGAGUUCCACGUGUAGCGGUGAAAUGCGUAGAGAUGUGGAGGAACACCAGUGGCGAAGGCGACUCUCUGGUCUGUAACUGACGCUGAGGAGCGAAAGCGUGGGGGCGAACAGGAUUAGAUACCCGCGUAGUCCCUGUCUCUUAUACC